AGAAUGAACGUUGGCGGCGUGGAUUAGGCAUGCAAGUCGUACGGGCCGCAAGGCCAGUGGCGCAAGGGUGAGUAAGGCGACGGUAACCAACCCCACGGGUGGGUAUAGCCGCGGGAAACUGCGGGUAAUCCCCAGCGAUGUCCAGAGGGGGGCAUCCCCCUCGGACCAAAGGUCCGCCGCCGUGGGACGGGCCGUUGUGGUAUUAGGUUGUUGGCGGGGUAACGGCCCACCAAGCCUGCGAUGCCUACCGGGCGUGCGAGCGUGGCCCGGCACACUGGGACUGAGACACUGCCCCAGACUCCUACGGGAGGCUGCAGUCGAGAAUCUUCGGCAAUGGGCGCAAGCCUGACCGAGCGACGCCGCGUGGAGGAUGAAGGCCUUCGGGUUGUAAACUCCUGUCGAGGGGGAGGAAGGCGCAAGCUUGACCGAUCCCUGGAGGAAGCACGGGCUAAGUUCGUGCCAGCAGCCGC
rnacentral:rRNA from 1 species